AAACUCUGAUAAUCAGUGUCGUCCGAGUCAUAUUCAAUAACUAAAACUUUCAACAACGGAUCUCUUGGUUCUGGCAUCGAUGAAGAACGCAGCGAAAUGCGAUAAGUAAUGUGAAUUGCAGAAUUCAGUGAAUCAUCGAAUCUUUGAACGCACAUUGCGCCCCUUGGUAUUCCGAGGGGCAUACCUGUUCGAGCGUCAU
rnacentral:rRNA from 1 species